rnacentral:lncRNA from 1 species
AUGUCCCCACAAUGUCUCCUCACUAUCCCCUCCUUGUACCCUCGCUGUCUCCUCACUGUCCUCUCACUAUCCCUUUAUUGUCCCCUCACAGUCCCCUGUUGCCUCACUGUCUCCUUACUGUCCCAACGAUGUCCUGUCAGUCUCCUCAUUGUCCCCUCAUUGUCCCGUUGUUGUCUCCACACUGUUCUCACACUGUCAUCACUGUCUCCUCUCUGUCCCCACACGGUCUCCAUACUGUCUCCUGUCUCCUCACAGUCUCUUCACAGCCCUUUCACAUCCCCUCACUGCCUCCUCACUAUCUCCUCACUAUCCUUCACUGUCUCCUCACAGUGUUCUUACUGUUCCCUGCACUGUCCCCACAAUGUUUCUUCACUAUCCCCUCACUAUCCCCACACUAUCUCAUCACUGUCUACACACAAUACCCACACUGUGCCCUAUCUAUCCGUCAUGGUCCCUCACUGUCGACACAAUUUCCCCACACAGACCCCUCACUGUACCCACACUGUCUCCUUAUUGUCCUCUCACAGUCACUUCACAUCCCCUUCACAUCCCCUCACUGUAGUUGCAAUCCUCUCACUGUCCUUCCACUGUCUCCUCACUGUGCCCACAAUGUCUCUUUACUACACCGUCAUUGUCCCCACACUGCCCCUUACUAUCUUAACACUGUCUCAUCACUGUCCACACACGAUACCCACACUGUGCCCUAUCUAUCCCUCAUGGUCCCUCCUAUCCACACAGUGUCCCCACACAGACUCUUCAGUGUCCCCUACUCUCUCCUCACUGGUCUCUCACUGUCUCCUCACUAUCUCCACAAUGUCACUCACUGUGCCCAUGAAGUCUCAUCACUAUCUCCUCACUAUCUCCUCACUACCCCCACACGGUCCCUUCUCUGUCCCACCCAUGUCCUCUCACUGUCUGCUCCCUCUCCCACACACUGUCCCUUCCAGGAUCCCCUCACAUUACCUAGCCUUGGGGGCAGGAGCUUGGUCAUGGAGGGAGGCGGUCUGUGGAGGUCCAAGCCAAGCUCACACCCUCCCCUCCAUGAUGCAGGUGAAGUGGAUCUUCUCGUCAGUGGUGGAGCUGAAGCGGUCAAUUAUCCCUGACUACAGGAACAUGAUCGGAGAGGGGGCUUAG